rnacentral:rRNA from 1 species
AGUGGCCGCGUACGAUUAGAUUGUUGGUGAGGUAACGGGCGUCACCAAGUCGACGAUCAUUAACUGGUCUGAGAGGAUGAUCAGUCAGACUGGAACUGAGACACGGUCCAGACUCCUACGGGAGGCAGCAGUAAGGAAUCUCCACAAUGGGCGAAAGCCUGAUGGAGCAACGCCGCGUGCAGGAUGAAGGCCCUCGGGUCGUAAACUGCUUUUAUGAGUGAAGAAUAUGACGGUAACUCAUGAAUAAGCACCGGCUAACUACGUG